AAAUUAGCCCAGGAAGGGGUCCUAUCUCUUGCAAAUACAGGAGUUGAUGUUUCUCUUGAUGGUGGAAAAGGAGUUGCAUGGAAAUAUAAUCCUACAGAGAAGACUUGGGCCCGCCCUUUAGCCUCACAGCCAUCUGGAGGGCUGCAGGCUCCAUCCCCUUGGCUGAGCAGCCUGCAUUCCUGCCUCAACCCAGGGGGCUUACUAGGGACAAUGGGGACACCUAGCAUGCACAGGUGGCUGCUGAAUGACCCAGGAGCGGAUGGAAGGUUCCAGAGGCUGAAACUGCACCUGUCCCUGGGCACGUCCUGCCCCUUUUCUCACUGCUCGUCUGCCCAGAGUCGUCCUCAUCUCCUAGAUCUCUUAGAUCUUCGCACAGAUGCCACUCCCCAACAUCUUUCUUGACUCUCUCUGCUGGGACGGAGGUAGGUGCCCCCUUCCAUAAAACACUGUCUUAAGCCUGGGAGUUUCUGGAAGGCAGACUGGGUCGAUUUUGUUGGCUGCUGCCUGUCCAGUGCCUCCUACUGUGCUGGCACAGGGUUGGUACUCAACAAAUGUUUGCUGCAUAAAUGAAUAAAGGGCUCAGGGUGGAAAGGAUUGAAUUAGUA
rnacentral:lncRNA from 1 species